AGAGUUUGAUCAUGGCUCAGGAUGAACGCUGGCGGCGUGCCUAAUACAUGCAAGUCGAGCGAACAGAUGAGAAGCUUGCUUCUCUGAUGUUAGCGGCGGACGGGUGAGUAACACGUGGGUAACCUACCUAUAAGACUGGGAUAACUCCGGGAAACCGGGGCUAAUACCGGAUAAUAUUUUGAACCGCAUGGUUCAAUAGUGAAAGACGGUUUCGGCUGUCACUUAUAGAUGGACCCGCGCCGUAUUAGCUAGUUGGUAAGGUAACGGCUUACCAAGGCGACGAUACGUAGCCGACCUGAGAGGGUGAUCGGCCACACUGGAACUGAGACACGGUCCAGACUCCUACGGGAGGCAGCAGUAGGGAAUCUUCCGCAAUGGGCGAAAGCCUGACGGAGCAACGCCGCGUGAGUGAUGAAGGUCUUCGGAUCGUAAAACUCUGUUGUUAGGGAAGAACAAAUUUGUUAGUAACUGAACAAGUCUUGACGGUACCUAACCAGAAAGCCACGGCUAACUACGUGCCAGCAGCCGCGGUAAUAC
rnacentral:rRNA from 1 species